rnacentral:pre_miRNA from 1 species
AGUUUGACUGCUAGAUCAUAUGGUAAGAUUAUGCUUAAUUUUAGAGAAAUGGACAAACUUUGUUUCAAAGUAGCUAUACCAUUUUAUAUUCCCACAAGCCAU